rnacentral:lncRNA from 1 species
CACACCAGCCACGGAGGUUUUCAAAGAUCAGCCUCUGAAAUAGGAGCACGGCCCCAGGGGAAAUGCAGCUUACUCAUCAAGCCUCAGGUAGGAAAGCACCAACAAGU